rnacentral:rRNA from 1 species
AUUAAACGCUGGCGGCAUGCCUUACACAUGCAAGUCGAACGGUAGCGCGGGGCAACCUGGCGACGAGUGGCGAACGGGUGAGUAAAGCAUCGGAACAUGCCCUGGAAUGGGGGAUAACGUAGCGAAAGUUACGCUAAUACCGCAUAUUCUGUGAGCAGGAAAGCAGGGGAUCGCAAGACCUUGCGUUCUGGGAGCGGCCGAUGUCGGAUUAGCUAGUUGGUGGGGUAAAAGCCUACCAAGGCGACGAUCCGUAGCGGGUCUGAGAGGAUGAUCCGCCACACUGGGACUGAGACACGGCCCAGACUCCUACGGGAGGCAGCAGUGGGGAAUUUUGGACAAUGGGCGGAAGCCUGAUCCAGCCAUGCCGCGUGAGUGAAGAAGGCCU